rnacentral:rRNA from 1 species
AACGCUAGCGGCAGGCCUAACACAUGCAAGUCGAGGGGGAGAAUGUCUUCGGAUGUUUGAGACCGGCGCACGGGUGCGUAACGCGUAUGCAACCUACCUCUUACUGGAGAAUAGCCCGGAGAAAUUCGGAUUAAUGCUCCAUAUGCUCGUACGACCUCAUGGUCGAGCGAGGAAAGCUCCGGCGGUAAGAGAUGGGCAUGCGUCCUAUUAGCUUGUUGGUGAGGUAACGGCUCACCAAGGCUACGAUAGGUAGGGGGCCUGAGAGGGUGACCCCCCACACUGGUACUGAGACACGGACCAGACUCCUACGGGAGGCAGCAGUGAGGAAUAUUGGGCAAUGGAGGAAACUCUGACCCAGCCAUGCCGCGUGCAGGAAGACGGCCCUAUGGGUUGUAAACUGCUUUUGUACGAGAAUAAACCCUUCCACGUGUGGAAGGCUGAAGGUACCGUACGAAUAAGGAUCGGCUAACUCCGUGCCAGCAGCCGCGGUAAUACGGAGGAUCCAAGCGUUAUCCGGAUUUAUUGGGUUUAAAGGGUCCGUAGGCGGGUCUUUAAGUCAGUGGUGAAAGCCUGCAGCUUAACUGUAGAAUUGCCAUUGAUACUGGAGACCUUGAGUGUAGUAGAAGUAGGCGGAAUAAGGCAUGUAGCGGUGAAAUGCAUAGAUAUGCCUUAGAACACCGAUUGCGAAGGCAGCUUACUAUGUUACAACUGACGCUGAGGGACGAAAGCGUGGGGAGCGAACAGGAUUAGAUACCCUGGUAGUCCACGCCGUAAACGAUGAUUACUCGCUGUUAGCGAUAUACAGUUAGCGGCCAAGCGAAAGCAUUAAGUAAUCCACCUGGGGAGUACGCCGGCAACGGUGAAACUCAAAGGAAUUGACGGGG